CACAGUGCGGCCGGACUUGGCGACCUGCUUAUUGCUAAACCCGCGACCCAAAUCCCACACCAGGUGUCUGACUCCGUUGAUGCAGUGGAAGGUGAACGGGAGUGCAGCGGUCGUCUUCAGCAGGACCUUCGCAGCGACGGGAAGGAUUCCAAAAGAUGCCGCCAUGGACGUGGAGUCAAUGUGCCAACCCAGCCAGGGGGAAGCAGCAUAUGCUGCAAAAAAGAGAUAAAACGGCCCCGAAAGUAGCAGUCCGGUGUUGCGGUGCAAGAGGGAGAGCACGGAAGUGAUCUGUGGUCGGUAGAUGGAUAUGUGCGGCGAGACGGGCCGGUUCAGGCGCUGUUUGCGAAGGAGAUCAUUGGGAUCUGAGGGUUUCGAGGACCGGGCAGCUUGCGCAAUUGGGCUGUUGACGAUGUAUCAUUAGAAAAACCGAGCGCGCGCUGCGUUGGAGUCCCGCUGAAGUUUCGCGGGGCUGAUAGGGGGAUAUCGACGAGGGAAAGUAAGAGGUUGAUUUACUGAAGUCCGACCAAAUGAGCUGGCCGCUGCGAGGGAUUGGGGACGUAUGUAUCAGCGGUGUCCCGAUAUCCAUUGCGUGAGUUCAACAUACAUCGGCGCAGCGAGUGCUGCAUAAUUUUUUGGGAAAUCAUUGCGCGCAGACUGGCGAGAGAAAGCAGUCAAGGAUAUGUAGAAGAGAGGUUUCGGACGAGGCUUGGACCCGAGGCUUGGACGCAGGGCCUGCAGCAGCUUGCUUGCUCUGGAA
rnacentral:sRNA from 1 species